AACCGCCCUCUCGCCCCGCCUCGUUCCAGGCAGGAGCUGCCGGCGGCGGAGGCCAUUUGCCGGGCCGGGCCCUCUCUUCCCGCCGCCCGCUGCCGCGGCAAGGAUCCCUCCCUCGGGGGCGGGGCGGGGCGGGGGGCUACCUGGGGAGGCGGGGGCGGCGGCGCUGCUGACCGGCCGUCGGGGGGGGGGGGGGCAGGCGGGCGCCGCCUCCAUGUGGACGGCCGACGAGAUCGCCGCCGCCUGCUACGGCCACUACCAGGCCCGCCUGCCCCGGCGCGGCAAGCCGGACGCCGCUGCCGGCCAGUGGACGCUGCUGGCGGCCGUGGUGAAGGUGUGCCCGGGGGAGGGGCGCGCGCCCCAGACAGCAGUCAAGGAAGUUGUUGCCAUGGGAACUGGGACAAAAUGCAUCGGCCAGUCAGAAAUGAGAAAGACAGGGGACGUCAUCAACGACAGUCAUGCCGAGGUGGUGGCCAAGAGGAGCUUCCAGAGGUAUCUGCUUCACCAACUUUGGCUGGCGGCUGUGCAACAAGAGACAAGCAUCUUUAGGCCAGGAACUGAGCCGGGGAAGUGGAUUCUCAGACCACGCAUCACCUUUGUAUUUUUCUGCAGCCACACUCCUUGUGGGGACGCCUCAAUUAUCCCAGUGGCGGCAGAGGAGGCCAAGCUUUGCUUGGAAUCCCGGGUCAGCCUUUGCUCUGGAGUGCAGUGGAAUGAAAGGGAAGCUGAAGAGACCACAACUGACCCCCUCCCUAAGAGAGCAAAAGUGAAUGCCCAGGAUUCAGUGUGUGGGGCUGCUCGUCAGCCUGCUCUGAGUGCCGCAGAGUCUCCUGCAGCUGGCUGCAGCCCACUCCAAGUGAUGGAUGUCCAUAGAACAGGGGCAAAGUGCGUCCCGGGGGACGCAGGUGACCUCCAGCAGCCGGGCAGCAAGUACCACACUGUGGGACUCUUGCGGAUAAAGCCGGGUCGUGGGUCCAGGACUGCCUCCAUGUCUUGCAGCGACAAGCUGGCUCGCUGGAACGUGCUGGGCUGGCAAGGGGCACUCCUGAUGCAUCUCCUCCAGCAGCCCCUGUACCUGCCUGCUGUGGUGGUGGGCGGCCAUUGUCCCUACAGUCAGGAGGCCAUGCAGAGGGCCCUCGUCACACGGUGUCGGCAGGGUCUGCAUUUACCUGACGGUUUCCAGGUUUACACGGUGAAAACCCUGCAGUCCAGCCUGCAUUUCAACCACAGCCGGCGAGCGGUUGAGGACAGCCAGAGCCGAGGCAAGGUGGUUCCGUGCGGUGCAGCCAUCAGUUGGAGUGUGGUUCCUGAACAGCCGCUUGACGUCACUUCUAAUGGUUUCAAGCAGGGGACAACCAAGAAACGAAUUGGCAGCCUCCAGUCUAGUAAAGCCACUCACCAUCAGAAAGGAUGCAGUUGAGCAGGCAAAAGUACAAAAACGGGAGAGAGCAAGUGGAGUCUCUGCCUUGUAAAGAGAGACUGAAAUCCUGGAAUACUUCAACAGCUCUCUGGCAGUCUUGUGCUAGAUGGUACUCUUGCGCUACCCUGAUUUGGACCAGGGCUGCAGGUCUCACAUCUGCAAGGUAGAACUGUUCCAUGAAUUCCUGAAGCUGGUUGCCCAAAUUCCACAGGAGAACCUACCAGGAACUCUCAGG